AUCUAGAUUGCGGAUCCGCGGCCGCAGAGUUUGAUCAUGGCUCAGAAUGAACGCUAGCGGCAGGCUUAACACAUGCAAGUCGAGGGGCAGCGCGAGUAGCAAUACUUGGCGGCGACCGGCGUAAGGGUGCGUAACGCGUGAGCAACAUGCCCGUAUCAGGGGGAUAAUCCAGGGAAACUUGGUCUAAUACCCCAUAGUAAUUUUGUAAGGCAUCUUAUGGAAUUUAAAGCUUUGGUGGAUACGGAUUGGCUCGCGUGACAUUAGCUGGAUGGUAAGGUAACGGCUUACCAUGGCUAUGAUGUCUAGGGGUCCUGAGAGGAAGGUCCCCCACACUGGAACUGAGACACGGUCCAGACUCCUACGGGAGGCAGCAGUGAGGAAUAUUGGACAAUGGAUGGAAAUCUGAUCCAGCCAUGCCGCGUGAAGGAAGAAGGUCCUAUGGAUUGUAAACUUCUUUUGUAUGGGAGCAAUAAGGCCUACGAGUAGGUUGAUGAGAGUACCAUACGAAUAAGCACCGGCUAACUCCGUGCCAGCAGCCGCGGUAAUACGGAGGGUGCAAGCGUUAUCCGGAUCUAUUGGGUUUAAAGGGUGCGUACGCGGUUAUUUAAGUCAGUGGUGAAAGUUUUCGGCUCAACCGGAAAUUUGCCAUUGAUACUGGGUAGCUAGAAUAUGGUUG
rnacentral:rRNA from 1 species